GUGCUCGCUUCAGCGCGUAUAAACUAAAAAUGGAACGGUACAGAGAUUAGCACGGCCCCUGCGCAAGGAUGACAUGCAAAUUCGUGAAGCAGUUGCAUAUUUUU
rnacentral:snRNA from 1 species